UACGGGGGGGGCAAGCGUUGUUCGGAAUUACUGGGCGUAAAGGGCGCGUAGGCGGCUCUUCAAGUCAGCCGUGAAAUCUCCGGGCUUAACCUGGAAGGGUCGGUUGAUACUGUUGAGCUAGAGUGUGGAAGAGGCAACUGGAAUUCCGUGUGUAGCGGUGAAAUGCGUAGAUAUACGGAGGAACACCUGCGGCGAAGGCGGGUUGCUGGGCUGACACUGACGCUGAUGCGCGAAAGCCAGGGGAGCGAACGGG
rnacentral:rRNA from 1 species